GCCGUGGCUUAGUGGCAGAGCAUCUGCUUGGCACGCAGAAAGCCACAGGUUCAACCCCCAGCAUCUCCA
rnacentral:tRNA from 1 species